rnacentral:rRNA from 1 species
GGGUUGUGAGGUUAAGCGACUAAGCGUACACGGUGGAUGCCCUGGCAGUCAGAGGCGAUGAAGGACGUGCUAAUCUGCGAUAAGCGUCGGUAAGGUGAUAUGAACCGUUAUAACCGGCGAUUUCCGAAUGGGGAAACCCAGUGUGAUUCGUCACACUAUCAUUAACUGAAUCCAUAGGUUAAUGAGGCGAACCGGGGAACUGAAACAUCUAAGUACCCCCGAGGAAAAGAAAUCAACCGAGAUUCCCCCAGUAGCGGCGAGCGAACGGGGAGCAGCCCAGAGCCUGAAUCAGUGUGUGUGUUAGUGGAAGCGUCUGGAAAGGCGCGCGAUACAGGGUGACAGCCCCGUACACAAAAAUGCACAUGCUGUGAGCUCGAUGAGUAGGGCGGGACACGUGGUAUCCUGUCUGAAUAUGGGGGGACCAUCCUCCAAGGCUAAAUACUCCUGACUGACCGAUAGUGAACCAGUACCGUGAGGGAAAGGCGAAAAGAACCCCGGCGAGGGGAGUGAAAAAGAACCUGAAACCGUGUACGUACAAGCAGUGGGAGCACGCUUAGGCGUGUGACUGCGUACCUUUUGUAUAAUGGGUCAGCGACUUAUAUUCUGUAGCAAGGUUAACCGAAUAGGGGAGCCGAAGGGAAACCGAGUCUUAACUGGGCGUUAAGUUGCAGGGUAUAGACCCGAAACCCGGUGAUUCUAGCCAUGGGCAGGUUGAAGGUUGGGUAACACUAACUGGAGGACCGAACCGACUAAUGUUGAAAAAUUAGCGGAUGACUUGUGGCUGGGGGUGAAAGGCCAAUCAAACCGGGAGAUAGCUGGUUCUCCCCGAAAGCUAUUUAGGUAGCGCCUCGUGAAUUCAUCUCCGGGGGUAGAGCACUGUUUCGGCAAGGGGGUCAUCCCGACUUACCAACCCGAUGCAAACUGCGAAUACCGGAGAAUGUUAUCACGGGAGACACACGGCGGGUGCUAACGUCCGUCGUGAAGAGGGAAACAACCCAGACCGCCAGCUAAGGUCCCAAAGUCAUGGUUAAGUGGGAAACGAUGUGGGAAGGCCCAGACAGCCAGGAUGUUGGCUUAGAAGCAGCCAUCAUUUAAAGAAAGCGUAAUAGCUCACUGGUCGAGUCGGCCUGCGCGGAAGAUGUAACGGGGCUAAACCAUGCACCGAAGCUGCGGCAGCGACGCUGAUGCGUUGUUGGGUAGGGGAGCGUUCUGUAAGCCUGUGAAGGUGUACUGUGAGGUAUGCUGGAGGUAUCAGAAGUGCGAAUGCUGACAUAAGUAACGAUAAAGCGGGUGAAAAGCCCGCUCGCCGGAAGACCAAGGGUUCCUGUCCAACGUUAAUCGGGGCAGGGUGAGUCGACCCCUAAGGCGAGGCCGAAAGGCGUAGUCGAUGGGAAACAGGUUAAUAUUCCUGUACUUGGUGUUACUGCGAAGGGGGGACGGAGAAGGCUAUGUUGGCCGGGCGACGGUUGUCCCGGUUUAAGCGUGUAGGCUGGUUUUCCAGGCAAAUCCGGAAAAUCAAGGCUGAGGCGUGAUGACGAGGCACUACGGUGCUGAAGCAACAAAUGCCCUGCUUCCAGGAAAAGCCUCUAAGCAUCAGGUAACAUCAAAUCGUACCCCAAACCGACACAGGUGGUCAGGUAGAGAAUACCAAGGCGCUUGAGAGAACUCGGGUGAAGGAACUAGGCAAAAUGGUGCCGUAACUUCGGGAGAAGGCACGCUGAUAUGUAGGUGAAGUCCCUCGCGGAUGGAGCUGAAAUCAGUCGAAGAUACCAGCUGGCUGCAACUGUUUAUUAAAAACACAGCACUGUGCAAACACGAAAGUGGACGUAUACGGUGUGACGCCUGCCCGGUGCCGGAAGGUUAAUUGAUGGGGUCAGCGCAAGCGAAGCUCUUGAUCGAAGCCCCGGUAAACGGCGGCCGUAACUAUAACGGUCCUAAGGUAGCGAAAUUCCUUGUCGGGUAAGUUCCGACCUGCACGAAUGGCGUAAUGAUGGCCAGGCUGUCUCCACCCGAGACUCAGUGAAAUUGAACUCGCUGUGAAGAUGCAGUGUACCCGCGGCAAGACGGAAAGACCCCGUGAACCUUUACUAUAGCUUGACACUGAACAUUGAGCCUUGAUGUGUAGGAUAGGUGGGAGGCUUGGAAGUGUGGACGCCAGUCUGCAUGGAGCCGACCUUGAAAUACCACCCUUUAAUGUUUGAUGUUCUAACGUUGACCCGUAAUCCGGGUUGCGGACAGUGUCUGGUGGGUAGUUUGACUGGGGCGGUCUCCUCCUAAAGAGUAACGGAGGAGCACGAAGGUUGGCUAAUCCUGGUCGGACAUCAGGAGGUUAGUGCAAUGGCAUAAGCCAGCUUGACUGCGAGCGUGACGGCGCGAGCAGGUGCGAAAGCAGGUCAUAGUGAUCCGGUGGUUCUGAAUGGAAGGGCCAUCGCUCAACGGAUAAAAGGUACUCCGGGGAUAACAGGCUGAUACCGCCCAAGAGUUCAUAUCGACGGCGGUGUUUGGCACCUCGAUGUCGGCUCAUCACAUCCUGGGGCUGAAGUAGGUCCCAAGGGUAUGGCUGUUCGCCAUUUAAAGUGGUACGCGAGCUGGGUUUAGAACGUCGUGAGACAGUUCGGUCCCCUAUCUGCCGUGGGCGCUGGAGAACUGAGGGGGCUGCUCCUAGUACGAGAGGACCGGAGUGGACGCAUCACUGGUGUUCGGGUUGUCAUGCCAAUGGCACUGCCCGGUAGCUAAAUGCGGAAGAGAUAAGUGCUGAAAGCAUCUAAGCACGAAACUUGCCCCGAGAUGAGUUCUCCCUGACUCCUUGAGAGUCCUGAAGGAACGUUGAAGACGACGACGUUGAUAGGCCGGGUGUGUAAGCGCAGCGAUGCGUUGAGCUAACCGGUACUAAUGAACCGUGAGGCUUAACCUUACAACGCCGAAGGUGUUU